GAUCCAGAGAGACACACCCAGCGGCAGCCGUUGACUCCCUCCACCCUUGCUUCCCUCUCAACCAUCUCACCUCCAUCUGUCCAGUGGAGCCAGAUGUCCCACCUUCUUGGGAGAAAUUAAUUGAGGCUCAUUUCCAGGACAGAGGGGCAAGCUGGGUCUGAGGAGCCAAGCAGAAAAACUUCCCAAAAUCACUGGGUGGGGAGGGGUCAGAGACUUACUGCUGCCCCAGCUGUUCUGACUCUGCCCCCAGCUUUUGGCCCCACCCUUUUAAAGCACCUUCAGAGGUUCCCAAUGGUGACAGUAAACAAGUCUCCACUGUCCUGGCCAUCUCUGCUGUGUUCACCCUACUCCUGAUCUUUCUGGCUGCUCAGGGACUGACAGCCAAGAUGUGAGGCUGUGAUGAGCAGGAACAGGGAGGCCUGGAGCCCCCAGCCAUUGUCAUCACUUCCCUGAUCUGCCUAAAUUCUGCCCAGCAGUCCGUGAAAAUGGUUUGCUGAUGACAUAUGUAAGGACUUUAACUCCCCUCAAGCAAUCUGCUCAUCUCAAAGGAUUUGCAAUGAUCAAGAGGCGUCCUGUGAAUGCAGUUUGCAAAGGACUUAGGCACACAGCAUCUCCUUUGUUCUCACCACAAGGCUGCCGGGUGUGCAGAUGUGAGGAUUAUUUCAAUGGUGAAGAAGCAUCCUGAGAGGUUACGUAGUUCAACUAAUGUCACACCAAGAGGAGAGCAUCUGGGCAUUUGGACAUGGAAGGUGUGGGGCACAAGCAUCUCAUGGCCAGGGAACGGGGGAGGAGCAUCUCAGAGCUGCAUCAGAGUUCAUGCUGGUCCUAGGACAAGAGUCAAGCACACCCUGCUUUCACCAGCUGCUGGUAGCUUUCACUCAGGAUCCCAAAUGCGAAAUAGGUCUUGAAAGGGAUAUCAGACACAUGUCUGACCAUGCGUCUCACCAUUACAUCAGUCUUUGGCCACUGUAGGAGCACCAUUGCCCAUCGCCAUAUUAAAAGUGGCCACCUGCAGAGUCUUCCUUCCUUAGAGUCUAUGCAGAAGCCCAAGAAACAGGCUGCAGCCCCAGUAAUCUGGGGCUACUCUAUACCUCUCUGGAUGAACUUAACCUGCCACAUUCCUGGGGGUAAGAACUUCAAGAACUGACAUGUUCACUCCCUCCAAUAUCUGCCUUCCUUCCUUUUCUGACUUUGGAUAUGUAAAGUGAUGAUCUUCAGGCUUGGCUCUCAUCUUUAUUGUAUUAUAGCCUAUCCUAUCCCACUGAGCUUUUCUUUCUUCCACUGCAUAUCCAACCACUCCUCUCUUAGUGGUCCUAGACAGGAGGGGUCUUCUUUGCUGUAGAAGAAAGCCUGUGAUCUCAGCCUGUAGGUGCAACUCUUAGUCUGCUCAAUGGGGCCUACAGGAACCUUAGAAAAUCUUUUCUCUCAUAAUAGAGGCUGACUCUCAAGGUUCUUAUUAAACAACAACAAUUU
ensembl:lncRNA LINC01723 long intergenic non-protein coding RNA 1723